AUUCAGUCGUGAAGAUAUCUCAUAUCUCUGAUUUUUAUGAUUGACGGCGUUGACGAUUGAUGAAGGGCUCGAUUGGUGGUACUGGUACUAGACUGUGCCGUCAUUGUGUUGUGC
rnacentral:sRNA from 1 species